AAUAGAUACCCUGGUAGUCCACGCCGUAAACGGUGGGCACUAGGUGUGGGCGACAUUCCACGUCGUCCGUGCCGCAGCUAACGCAUUAAGUGCCCCGCCUGGGGAGUACGGCCGCAAGGCUAAAACUCAAAGGAAUUGACGGGGGCCCGCACAAGCGGCGGAGCAUGUGGCUUAAUUCGACGCAACGCGAAGAACCUUACCAAGGCUUGACAUACACCGGAAACGUCCAGAGAUGGGCGCCCCCUUGUGGUCGGUGUACAGGUGGUGCAUGGCUGUCGUCAGCCCGUGUCGUGAGAUGUUGGGUUAAGUCCCGCAACGAGCGCAACCCUUGUCCCGUGUUGCCAGCAGGCCCUUGUGGUGCUGGGGACUCACGGGAGACCGCCGGGGUCAACUCGGAGGAAGGUGGGGACGACGUCAAGUCAUCAUGCCCCUUAUGUCUUGGGCUGCACACGUGCUACAAUGGCCGGUACAAUGAGCUGCGAUACCGCGAGGUGGAGCGAAUCUCAAAAAGCCGGUCUCAGUUCGGAUUGGGGUCUGCAACCG
rnacentral:rRNA from 1 species